UUCCUGCGCAUGACAUAAAGCCCAACUUCUCCUGGCCUUUACAGUUUGGCUCAGCACCAGAGAACCUCUGUCCCAUCCAACACAAAGGCACCACUUGCAUGACAGGGCCACAUCUCCUAGGCAAAUCUCUCCUCAUGGAAGACACUGGUCUGGCCUCCUGCAGUGCCACGCUCCGUGUAUUUGACAAGCUGAGUUGGACACUCCGUGUGGUAGAGUGUCAGUUUGUCAAAUACCCCAAGUGCGGCAUAUGCCUAGCAGCUCCAGGCCAGGGAAGAUGGAGCACAAUGAAUAGAUUACCUACAAGGACCCAAGGAUGCUCAUCAAGCACCAAGAUCUUACACAUUAUUUUCUGUGACAUUUUGGGAACUGAAGCAUUGUGUCUGAGAGUGCCAGAGGGAAAAUGAGGCAGCUCCGGGAGCUCCAUCUCUGAGCUCCACAUACCAACAUCUUAAGAAUGUUAAAGGAACCCAGUAGUCUUGAAAACUUAUAAGGUACCCAGGAAUAGAUGUGAUCGUUUUUCGUUAUUAUUUUCUUUCUUUACCUUCCCCUACUGAAGUUUCCCAGUCAUAACACCAUGAUCUUCAUACAGAAGCUUCACAGCUUAUUUGAGAAACCAGAGCUUAGUAAUCUACUGUCAGACAAUCUUGACUACUAAAUUCUUGAGCUUUCUUAUUCCGCCCCCCCCCCCAUUUCCUCAUGCUUUUUUCUUUCUAGGAAUAUCUUCUUUGUUUCUUUCCAUCAAAUUCUUCCCCAUGUUUCUUGGCCCAAAGUUCAACCCCUCAGGGUCUUACGAAAGUAAACCUACACGUUUUCUUUCUUUAUUUGCAAAGCACUUCUUGCCUGAGUUCUGGCAUUGCAUUACCUCCUACUGUGGAAUAACGCCUCUUGAAUCAUUGGCAAAAUUUCCAAGGGGUAUUUUUGAAAUUCCUAUUACAGUGAACUUUUAGAAGACCAGGUUGUGUUUUCUUGAUUGUGGUUUCAUUUCAUAGCCAAUUAGCGUGGUUACAGAAAAUAACUGAAUAAAUGUUUACUGAUU